rnacentral:rRNA from 1 species
UACGUAGGGGGGCAAGCGUUGUCCGGAAUCAUUGGGCGUAAAGAGCGUGUAGGCGGCCCGAUAAGUCCGCCGUGAAAGUCCAGGGCUCAACCCUGGAAUGCCGGUGGAAACUGUCGGGCUAGAGUCCGGAAGAGGCGAGUGGAAUUCCUGGUGUAGCGGUGAAAUGCGCAGAUAUCAGGAGGAACACCAAUGGCGAAGGCAGCUCGCUGGGACGGUACUGACGCUGAGACGCGAAAGCGUGGGGAGCAAACAGG